AACGUAGGACACAAGCGUUAUCCGGAGUUACUGGGCGUAAAGGGCGUGUAGGCGGGAUGUUAAGUCUGACUUUAAAGACUGUGGCUCAACCACAGGAGUGGGCUGGAUACUGGCAUUCUAGACAACUGGAGAGGCGAUUGGAAUUACUGGUGUAGCGGUGGAAUGCGUAGAUACCAGUAGGAACGUCAAUGGCGAAGGCAGGUCGCUGGACAGUUUGUGACGCUGAGGCGCGAAAGUGUGGGGAGCAAACCGG
rnacentral:rRNA from 1 species